AUGCCGACGUCGGCAGCUCAACUAAGCAAAGAUGACCGACACCCGCUGCACCCAUCGGAGAAGAACCACCGCCCGCCAAGCACUCCGAAGCCUCGAGUACCAAGCAACAUCUUUAGGAAGAAAUGCGACGACGACGCCGCUACUGCCCGGACAAGUCCUAGGGUUUCCCCCGGUACACGGAUGGCAUCGGGAAAGGGGGUAUCACCGACGCCCCUCAGGAGGGUCCGGCAACGCCCAUGGGCGCAGCCGCGCCGAUGGCGAACGAGCCGCCAGAGAUUUCUCCCGCCCCGAAACCACCACCGCCACCUCAGACAAUCGAAAGCGCACCGCCCAACAUGCCGCCCACCAGCCUGUGCCACCACGGAUAUCACACCAUAUUCACCGUUUCACCGAGGCCACCAACACGAGACCUGGAGGUAG
rnacentral:rRNA from 1 species